GACGAACGCUGGCGGCGUGCCUAAUACAUGCAAGUAGAACGCUGAAGGAGGAGCUUGCUUCUCUGGAUGAGUUGCGAACGGGUGAGUAACGCGUAGGUAACCUGCCUGGUAGCGGGGGAUAACUAUUGGAAACGAUAGCUUAUACCGCAUAACAGUAGAUGUUGCAUGACAUUUGCUUAAAAGGUGCAAUUGCAUCACUACCAGAUGGACCUGCGUUGUAUUAGCUAGUUGGUGGGGUAACGGCUCACCAAGGCGACGAUACAUAGCCGACCUAAGAGGGUGAUCGGCCACACUGGGACUGGAACACGGCCCAGACUCCUACGGGAGGCAGCAGUAGGGAAUCUUCGGCAAUGGACGGAAGUCUGACCGAGCAACGCCGCGUGAGUGAAGAGGGUUUUCGGAUCGUAAAGCUCUGUUGUAAGAGAAGAACGAGUGUGAGAGUGGAAAGUUCACACUGUGACGGUAUCUUACCAGAAAGGGACGGCUAACUACGUGC
rnacentral:rRNA from 1 species